CCGGCUGGACACUCCCCUGGCUUCGCGGCUCACCUCUCACCUGGCUAGGGAACUCCUGACACCAAGGGGGACCCCGGGAUGAGGGCGUUGGAGGGUGAAAGACUGGGUCUCAGCUCAGCCAAUCAAGAGCGUAGUUCUGAAGAAGCCCAGUUGCGGGAAAGGAGUGAAUGUGGCGGCCCCCAGAGGUGCGCCCAGCUGCUCCUCCGUCUGUGGGCUUUUCCCACGGCCUUCUCAGGAGCGCCGCCCAGCAGCUCCGCUGGAAGUGGUAGUGGGGGCAGUGCAGACGCUGAGUCUUCUGGGGCUAGGCCUGUCUAGCGCUGGGAAUACAGCCCAAGCAAGGAGCUGGAGUGUCUGUCCUCCACAAGUGUCCUCACACAACUGUCCUCAAGUAUCCUUGGGCUCACAGUUUAAGCCGUCUUCAGCUGGAGCUCCAGCAUCACCGAUGAGUGGGCCUGCCCUUUCUUCCCAAACUCAGAGAACUGGAAUGGGUUUCCUUACCUGGGACCUGCAGUUGACUGGGGAAUGGAAUCCAGGAUUCUGAGUGCAGAAGUUUCCAGAUUCAGGAUGACAUCAGAGAAGCCCAGUGUUCCAGGUCAGAGCCUUACUCUCCCUGCAGGCUCCCCACCUCUGUCCACCAGAGGAUUUCCUGUCGCGUCUGUUUGCUUAUUGCUUCUCAGAUAAGUUUUCAUUUGAAACAGUGGUCUGAGGCUCUAAAUCAUUUGAAAGUCUUCUCUCCCAGUGUUCAGACAAUUCCCCUGGUUCUAACAUUUGGUGAUUCUGCAAGAAGCCUUCAUGCUAGGGCAAACAACUCUCCCACUUUGCCCAGCGCCGUGGGGUUUCUGGACAUGGGACUUCUAGUGCUGAAAGUCCCAGGAAAACCAGGCCAAUUGUUCAUCCUCUCACAUUCUCACUUGAGUAGCUUAUAUUUUGAGCCAUGCUUGUUUAGAGAAGGGAAAGACACCAUUUAGAAAGCCCCUUCAAUGCCUAAGUGUCAAGAAAAAUGGGAUCCAUCACCUAGUCGAAUAGUAACACUGGAUGAGAAGGGAGGGAAGCUGGUGCCCAUAUGUUUUGAAAAAGCAGCAUUUACUUUAACUUUGAAAUCUCAGAGCAGUCCCCAGGCAGGAUGGGAAGCCAAUGGGGCCAGGGCUGGUGCAGCUGAUGGGAUCUGAAGGGAAAGAAGAGCUUUUAAAAAGGAGAAUUUCACACUGAAUCUCUUAAUCUGUUUUACAGACUCAUAAAAUCUUAAUAUAGCCCCGAGACUGUCAUGUUUACAGACAGUGCAGCAAAGGCAGUGGCUUGGAGUGUGACCAGAGAGUUUGCAGAACAAACGCACCAGGGAGGGGCUUGGAUGGAAAUAACCAAGCGCUCUCCCCGCAGGGUAAGGCAGGACAGCCGGGCAGCCCCCGUCUGGUUCCCCCAACUGUGAGCAGAACGCUGGGCUACAAUCUAGGCUGAAGCUUCAGUGUACUGGCUUUUAGCAAAAAGCCCCCAUACUGCUCCUGGGGCAGAGGAUGGUAAGAUGCCAACUCCUGACACAUCCAUGACAGUGUGUGAUGCAGGUGGAGCUCCAGUCCAGUGGACACACCUGUGAUAGAUUUGAGAACGCCUGGAGGUUGGAGGUUGCUGAGAACCCAGUGUUGCUAAGAGGGUCACAGGCACUCAGAAGACAGGGAGGUUCCGGUGGGCUUCCUGGAGAGGGGCCCUGGGCUGGGCUCCACAGCAUCUGGGAAGGCAGAGGGCAUUUCUGGGGGAGAGGGCAUGAGCAAGUACGGGGAGGCUGGAUGGGCACAGCACAGGUGAGGGCAGCAGAGGCAGCACCUGGAGAGAGGGCUUUUGUUGGGGGAACGGUGAGAGAUAAGCUCACCCUAGUCCUGGCUUUGGAGAUGAGAAGAAGAAACAAAAAUGAAGCAAAAUACUUGUCACUGUAGAGGAGCUUACAGUCCAGACGACCUGGGAGAAAUGAAUUUGAAAACAAAGGAAGAUUUAGGAGCUGCGCCUGUCAAUGUCAAGGUCCAGCCUGAGCCAUGGAAAAAGAAUAGAAUUGGUUUCCCUGGUCUAAGACUAAAUGUGAAAAGUAAAGAAAAUAUGGCGUCAGGAAGACAGAAGAAGCUGGACAGAAAGAGAUCAAGAUUUAACUGGUUAUGCUGUAGACCAUGGCAGAUCGUAACAGAAGACAAAGCCCUUAAAAGGACACAAUUGGAAGCACUGGAUAUAUUACAAGGCUUUGGCACAGAAACCUCAGGAUAUUCAGGGACCUCAAGAAGAGAGGAAUUCACUCAAAUCUAAAUGUAACAGAUGAAGCAUGAUGGUAGGUCAUUGGUUUGGCUUCAUAUCCUAAAGAGGCUUUCAGAAGUCUAAUCUGAGGUUCCUUACCAAAGAAAUGAAACUAUCCUCAUUAAAGGCCUGAUGGCUCACACCAUCCAGGAGAUCUCCUCUGCUACCAACUCCCAGCAGCUGAUUCAGCGGUCCUUCAUGAACAAUAGGCAACUGAACAAGAAAAUGAGUUUAUAUUGUUCAAAAGAAAGAAGAAUGCCUCUUUUUUCCCUUGAACAAGGGAGCAAGAAAAAAGCAAAGCAGGAAAGGGAUGUAAGAAAGAGUGAGAUGAAUAACACACUUCCAAGAGGGAGGGCUCAAAGAAGGAAAAGGAAAGAUCAAAUGAGUUCCUUAUAUCCCAAAAGAAACUGCAGACGCAACGGACCAACAAACUGAGCUCAACUGAACUCUGUAAGUUUCAAGCAGAGAUUCUGUGACAACAGAGAGAUGAAAGGCAAGUUGAGGAAACAAAUGGAAGAAAAAGAUAAAACAUUACAGUGACGGGAACCACGUUCAAAGCCACACAACCCUGAAAGCACAAGUUUGACAAAAUUGUGCAAAACAAACUGGCACAAAAAACAUGCAAGAUUGAUCGUAAAGAAGAUGUAAAUGGCAGGCAAAGGGCAACUGGUUUUUCCAAGAAGAGAACAGAAUGGAUGAAACUGAAAAGGCAUUCAAGGAACCAUGGGAAGCUGACUUUUCAGAAGGAGGACAUGGACUUCCAAUUCAACUGAGCACGUUGUAUCCCAGAAAGAGAAACAUAGACAGAGUGACCCAUGCUGAAGCAUAACUAUGGUUAGCUUCUGAACACAGUGACAAAGGCAGAAUCCUAUCAACCAAAAAGCCAAAGGAAACCAAAGCACAAAUUCCCCCACAGCAUUCAGCACCCGAGGAUGGUGGCCACAAUCUACAGUUUGGGGGAAAGGAAAUGUGGAUCAGCAGACCCUGGCACGUAUAAAGACCACACACAGAUGGCUUUACACGUGUGGGCACUCAGGGCGGACAGUUCCUAAAAGCCGUUUUUGACAGAACACUGAGGAAUCAAACUGUAGAUCUUAGGAACAAGGAACUGUGCUGAAAACGAAUGACAGUGAACACAGAAUCCAUUCUAUUUUGGAAUUAAGACCCCAGUAACUAGUGAAAUUGUGUUAUAAAACAGAGAGUAACUCUUAUAAACAUGGCCGGUGUAAAUCAUGAUGUCAUCACCAAAUCGGAAAAGGAGGUGAGGGAACGCUGGCACUUCCCUCAUCUUUCAGAGCAGGAAGUAAAACUUGAAACAUGCAGUCAUAUCAAAAUCCAAUAACCUUGAAUAAUCACUCUUUGUCUACCCUUUUCUCCCCUUGACUUUGAAGGGAUCAUUUGGUCCUUUUUAUAUUGCUUGAAUUUGUUUUUUUCAUUGAU
rnacentral:lncRNA from 1 species